UUUUGUAUGUUCAUUGAAACCUUGACUACAAUUAAUUUUGGAAUAUCUUUAUCAGCCUGAAAAGAGGCAGCUACUUCCUACUGCCCACCCAGUUCAUAGGCAAUCACUAAUCUAUUUUCCCCGUAGAUUUUGCCUGCUUUGGAUAGUCAUAUAAGUCAAAUCAUGAAAUAUUUGGACUUUUGUAUCUGGUACCUCUCACUUUGCAUGUUUUUAAAGCAUACCCAUUUUGUAGAAUGCAUCAAGACUUUACUCCUUUUUCGUUGCCAGAUAAUAUUCCCUUGUAUGGAUAUACCACCUUUUACUAAUUCAUUUAUCAAUUUAUUAUGAUUGUUUCUACUUUUUGGCUGUUAAGAACACUGCUACUGUGAAUAUUCAUGUGCAAAUUCUUAUGUGAACAUACAUUUUUAUUUCUCUUGGAUAUAUAAUGAGGAGUGAAAAUUGCUAGCUUUAUUUGGAACUGUUGUCUUCUAAAUGAAUGUAGCUGCUUUUCUCAACAGUAAUUUUGUCCACUUCUGGAUAGUUACAGCUCAGCAUAGCUAGUUUGCUUCUCUUACUAUACCUAAUUGUGUUCUAUCCUUGAGUUGUAAAACUCAGAUUUUGAUUUGACUUUUUAACAUGUGACAUUUUCAGAACCCAUUAGUAUAUUUAACUUCCUUGGUUACAGACUUGUGGCACAUCUUAAAACUUUAAACAUGUGGUAGCUAGUUUUGAACACAAAAGAGUAAAUAUCAACUCAAUUUCUGUGGUUUUUUUGGUAUGGGGGAUUGAACUCAGGACCGUGUGCUUGCAAGGCAGGCGUGGUGCUGCUGAGCUAAAUCCCUGGCCCUAAUUUCUGAUUUUUAAAUUGGCUUAAUCUUUUAAUAGUUUCUGAAGAAGAAUACAGCAGCCACUGAAGCCAUUAAGUUAAGAACAGAAGUAGUCACAUAGGGUGGUGAGAAUUUUCUGAUUUGCUGAUUUAAUCUAUGUCACUUAUACUUUCAUGAGGGUAGGAUGCCACCUCAUAUUGUUGUAUUGUUGGUGACUCUUGAUGUACAUAUUCAGUGAUUAAGAUCCCUAGUAGGGUAGGGACAGGCUUAGAUGCUUCUUUAUCCUGCCUAGCAUUUAGCACAUACAAAGCACCUAGCAUAUAUUUUGUUUAGAAAUACAUCCUGCAUUUCUUAUCUCUUGCUUCCUUUUUUUCUUUUAAACCUCUAGAAUAUUAAUUGUUAAUGAGUGCUUUUAAUGCAGCUUCUUUGGGAAGUACAUCUCCUUUAAUGUAAACAGAAAACUGGUCUUGCACGGUUGCGUGUUAUCAAGUUUGCCCUGGGAGACAGGAGGUUAAAGUUAACCUCAAUCAUUUCCACUUCUCUUAACUUUGCCUAUUUCUGGUGAUCUGCAUUCAGCCUGUCACUUUAUUUGAGUGUGAGGUCCCCCCCGCUUUGUUUGUUUUUUGUUUGUUCUUGAAAGCCCUUGUUUUCCCUAGACAGAAUUCACAGGCAGAGUUUUUCCUGGAGUGUUGUUCUGAAUAGACCUUUCCAGAAAGUGCAUUAAGUGUAUUAAAACUUUCCAAGUUUCAUCAUUGCUAUGUCUUUUACAUCAAAUGUGCCUUUCCUGUAAUCCAGUGACCUUUUUUGUUCUGCUUGAUAUCUUCUCAAUAAGUUUUUCCCUUAUGGCUUCCUUCUUGUGUUCAUUAGUUCAUGUCCUCUCACAGCAUAGGCUAGUCUUUAAAUACCCUAUGAUAGCCGCUGUAUGUGAAGAGUUUUGCUACACCUCAGAAAUUCUGGUAGAAAGGAAGUUUUACAAUCAAUAUAGUGUAGAAAAGUGGAUAAACAACUCUGGGGAAGAUUACCCAGGAAAAAAAGAGGAUACAGUACUUGAAUGAGAAUGGGACUGACAGUCGCAGAGGCUGCUGCUGUUAACUACUUCUGAGUGACAUCCUGGACCAGCCUCUCUUCUGAGAGAAUCCUAUUUAUUUCGAGGGCUUAAGGUGGAGAGUAGAGUGGGUCUGGGUAAAUGUUAGUUUAGAAAACCAAGCAUGGGAAAGCCCAGCUUGGGUCCCACUCUUCAGCAACAUUAUGUGUGAGAAAUGCACAACUUGUGCAGAUAUUUAAAUGAAGUUAUUAUUGCAAACUGACCCAGUAUCCCUUCACCACUUAAACUGGCAGAGGCCUCCAAUGUCAAGAUAUUAGCCUCUCUUUUCGAGAUUUGGGGUGGAAAGGAGAGAAAGGGUUAAGAUUUACAACUGAAUUAAGGAGUGACUAAAUGAUAGAUUUGUUCAUUUUAAUAAGGAUUUAUCAAAUGUCUUAUGUGCAGUGCUGUGUUAGGUGCUAGCAACACAAAGAUGAAUAAGCACUGUUCUUGCCAUAAGGGAAGGAGCAAUUUAGUUGGGGAGUGAAUUGUGAUUUACUUUAAAAAAAAUAAAGGCUUUAUUUACACAUAUGUCAAGCCACAAGAGAAGUGCUUCAUUUGCAAAAUGUAACAGCAUAGUGAGAGCGCAGAGGAGGGAUUGAGGCGUGGGAUAGGUGGGCAGGAAAACAGACCAGCAUAGGAAAAGUAUCUGUAGGAUGAAACUGGAGCAGAGAUCUGACUUAUAUUGCAAUUUAGAACUAUUAUUCAUGUUUUGCGUGUCAGGUAAGCAGUUUCUGUUUCAUCGAAUGAGAUGCCUCUAUAGGGAUCCUCUAUCCAGUGGAGAGCUAAUAUUAGGACAUUUGAAACAAGCCAAGUCUUCAUAGUCUAUGAUCUCUUGAAAUUUUGCUAUUCAGUCUCCUUGUUAGUGAAUCAGUUUGUCCUCUCAUGCUCUAGUGUAGUGGCUUACUGGGGCCCUUGAUGUCUGUUUCUUAGAUUUUCUUACUCUGUAGAGGUGUAGAUCACAAGCACUCCUCAACCAAAGCCACUUGCCAGCUGCAGAGUGAGGCAGCCAUCCCUAUACUGAAGUUCUUCUUUUAACUGUAAAAGUAUGUUUAUCCAAGUCUAUGUUCUGACUCUUCAGUUCUCUUUGCAUUGGGUUUGCCAGUUCUACUUACUGCAGAGGUUUCCAAAAAGGCAUGGCCUAUGCAGAAUCUCAGCAUUUUAAAGGAAAAUGUUGGUGUCAUAUUAUCAAAGGGUGUUGUUAGAGGUGGCAUCCACAGUAAUUAGGACCUAUGACAUAUAAUUAUGACAGCAGUGAGCUGUCUGGGUUGAGAGGCACUUCAGAAUUUAAUUAGCCAAAGGCAAUAAUGAUAAGAUACAAGAUCUAGGCAGUAUCCUUCAAAUGGGUAGAAACAGAGCUGCCUUCAAAAAAGAGAGGAUUAAGGAAAAUUAUUGGCAUGGCAAAGUUGCAUUGCAGAAUAAUGCCAAUUUAGAAUUCUGCAGUACUUUUAACAUUAUGAUUGUUUUGAACUUACUGCAAUCUUUGAUUCUUUUUGUAAAUUCAGUGAGACCAGGGACUCCAUGUCUCUUGUUCAUUUGUGCCUGGCAUCCAAGGUAGCAUUCAGUAAAUCUUUUGACUGGAUGGAGGAUGAAAGAAAUUUAAUUCAUCUAAACCAGGGCUUGAAAACUGGCUACUUGUUGCAUUUAUCCUACAUAUAGUCUCUUUAUUUUUCCUUUUCUUUCUUUCUUUUUUUUUUUUUCACUUUUAGAGUUAAAAAAAAAUUGUUUUUAGGUGCCAAUAUAGUCAGCCUUCCAUAUUCCUGGUUCCUUGUCCUCAGACUCAAGUAACUGCUGCAGAUAGAAAAUAUUUGCAAAAAUGGAAAGAAAUUGUGUAUGUACUGAUUAUGUACAGACCUUUUGCCUUGUAAUUACUUCCUAACCAAUACAGAAUAACAAAUUUUUGCACAGUAUUUACAUUAUAUAUUUGGUAUUAGAAGUCCUCUAGAUGUGAUUUAAAGUAUGGAGGAAGUUGUGUGAAGGCUCUAUGUGCUAUUAUGCUAUUUUUCUAAAGAACUUGGACAUCUUCAGGUUUUGGUAUCAACUGGCAGCAGGGGUAGAUUGUCCUGAAACUGAUCCUCCCUUGGAUACGGAGGGAUCGUUGUUUAAAAAUAGGAACAUUAACAUACAAUUCUGGAUUGUUUUUCUUUUUAUCUGGAAAACUCAGGAGAUCUGACAGCACUCAGCUGGACUUCCCACUUGGCAGUGACUGACUAGCAAAAACAUAGCUGCCUCCUUCAGCUGGGGAAUAUCGUCCUAAGUCCUCACUUUGUCUAAGUCACUCAUUUUGGCCUUUGUGGUUGUCUGAGUUUGGAAACUGGAAAUUGUUAACUUUUUUACCUUUGAAAUUGCGUCUUGUGUUCAUGUAUAUCAUGUUUGAAAUAUAGCAAAAAUGAUUAAGAUUUAUCAGGUUUCCCCAUUCUGUUCCAUACUAAUGAAGCCUUUUAGUUUUCUACUUGCCUGAUGACUUGUAAAAUGCAUUAAAAUGGGCUCUGGUUAAUAUGGCUUUGUAGAAGGGUUUCAAUUAUGCUUCUUACAAGUUAGGACUCAUGGUUUCUUUUCGGUGAGCAGAAUUUGAACCCCUGGGUGCCACUUUGGGCACUCACCAAAGCACAGGAAGGGCCAAAGAAAUAAGCAGGUAGCUUAGCUCUAACUAUAGGGGACAUUGAACACAGAUGUGAGGUGUGAGUGUUGUGAGAUCAGAAGUGCUGACCCUUGGGUUUAUAAUUUUUACAGUUUUCAAGAAUUGAGUCAAAUAUUUAUUGAGUUUUUUUAAAAGUAAAAUUUUCCUGGCAUUAUUUAGAGGAGGCAUUUUUAAAAAACAAAAUGUAUGUAUUUUGACUUUUUCUUUGAGUGAGAUUAAAUUUGAUAGGUUUCCAACCUCAGAUUUCUUUUUGUUUUGAAAAUAUAUAUCUGUCAUGAUGAAUAUGUUGUAAUAGCUACUGGUAUAUUUCAGAGUACAGUAAAAAUAACAUAUACACACAGGAAGAAAAGAUGAGACAGUUCUGCAUCCAGAAUAAAAGGCAUAUGUUAAUACAUAAUUGGUUUAUGUAGGGAAACUCUUCUCAUUUUUUGUCCAAAUAAUUGAUUUAAAAAUAUGACUGUGUAAAGUAUGUAUUAUACUCCAAACAUGACAGUAGUGAGGAAGCUCCAAAAACUUAGUGACAUUAAUCUCCAGGAUUCAAAUGCAGAUAUUCAUUCUUGUUCUUCUCUCUGUCUCUUGCAUUUCCACAUGCACAAAUACCCUGCCAAGAAGCCAGUUGCUAAAGUGCCAUAAUAUAUCUAGCUAACCUUGGGUCUAGCUACUUUUGGAUUAUAUUUGUUUCUGCAUUUAAAUGAACAUUGACCAGAAGUAGUUGCUUCUUAGUCAUUUUUUCUGGUCUUCCCUCGUGUUUUAAUAUCUUGAAGCUAACCAUGAUGGUUCCUAGAAGAAACAGAGUUCACAUGCUACUUUAUGUUUAUGCCUAUACUAUACUGGCAUGCUUCUCAGCCCUGGGCCUUUUUCCUUAGCAGGCAACCAUCAGACUAGAUCAUCUGUUGAGAAGGGAGUGUGGUUUAUGAGCAGCAGGUGUGUUCAGCAUGAUCAUUAAGCAGAACAAUUUGCCCCUGCCUCACUCUGACCUGCUCAGUGCUUGCCCCUUGCAGUAUAAUUAGAGAAGCCUUUGGUCACAAUGGACAGUCUGCAUUUAGCAAAUUAUACCCCCAAAGUUUUUCACCUUGCAAACAGUUGGGCAGUUAGUGGAGACAGCAAAUAGAACUGAAGAAACUGUGGUCUUGUUUUGGGUGUAGGUUGAAAUACGUUGUACUUAGACAACAUAACAUUUUAAUGACUCCUCCUCACACAACCUAAUUGGACACAUGAAAAAUGGACAGGCACACAAGUUCAUUUUUCUUCAUAUCUAAUAUUUGGCUCAAAAGAAUUGAUUCAUUUAAUUUGAAAAUAAUAGGAAUGGAAUCUUUAUGACAACUUUACGAUGUAACUACUCUAUAGGUAAGCUUGUACACACAACUAGACCACAGCUGUUACUUCCGAUUCUUUACUGCCUUCAUUUAACUAUCCAGUUCUUGUAGUUAAAGUCAGCACUGAACAUGUUACUUUCUCGCAUGGAGGUUUCUUUGGUCUUUCUGUUGAAGUGUUGAGUUGCCAUUUUAGUUUAUGCAUAUCUUCAAGUCUCCUUAGUAGAAGCUUUUCAAAAGUUAUAAGAUUGCUUGAAGUAGCACAGUGUGCAGAGGUAGUCAUUAAAAAGUGGGAGCACUCUCAGUGUCAUAACCCUAGUAAACCACUUAAAAAAUGAAAAAACUGACUGUGACACUGUGGAGCAUGUGUUUUAUUUAGUGAUGCAGUUUGGUAGCUAAAUUGUUCAGAGUAAUGCAGCUCAUUCAUCUUUUGUGAUUUCACCAUUUUAAUUUUUAUUUUGCAUUGCCAGAACGGGCCUAUUUAAGGCACAUUUGAACUCUAAUUACCUUGGCAAAAGGCCACAUGAAAAGCAUCCUUACAGAGAGAUUCUUUUUUAUAAUUUAGUGACUUACCUCAUGACUGGAAAAAACAACUAUGAUACAAAAUACUAAUAUAAAUGAUGAAGGAUGGCAUCUGUUUUUUUCUUUAAGGGUUGUGAUAGGAAAUCAGACAUUAGGUUUAUAUAAAUAUCCUGUCUGUGAAUUAUAUCUGUUUUAAAGGCAUCAGUCAAGUGGAAGGUUGAGUGAUAAGGAUAUUAUCUUUUCCAACUGGGUGUUUACAUCCAAUUUACUUUUCAGAGUCUCCCGUCUUAUUUUAAAGUGGUUUACUCGGGAAUUUAGUAAAAACCACCACUGCACACUGUGCGACUUCCAACACUCCUGGAGCUGCAGAGAACGUCCACUAACCAGACUUGGAGACAGCACUGCACCAGGUUAUUCUCGUUCAAGUUAAUCCAGGGUGAGACUUUUUUACAAUAAGAGCGGAGGAUGGAACACUUCAGUGCAUUCAAGGUAAGGAAAUUUUUGGUAAACACUCUAAUCAAAUAAUUUAUCCUUUAUUAUUUUAAAGAUGUAAGGUUUUUUCCCCUGAGUCUGCAUAUGAUUCUAGAAGUAAAAUGUAUCUUUUCCUUUUUUUCUCUCUCUCUGUCAGGUAGUCUCAAAUAUAAAUUACUGUCCAAAUGAUGCUUUUGGUAGUAAAGUCUGAUUUGAGUGCUUUCAGCUAUUUAUUGCUGAGUAAUGAAUCACUCCAAAAUUUAAUGGUUUAAAACAAAAUUUCGGUUUCUGUGGAUCAGGGAACGGGCAUGACCUACCUUGGUCCUAGGGGUUUGGGCUUCCCAAAAAGCUAAAGUCAAGGUGUGGGCUAGACCUGCAGUUGUCUUAAGGUGUGUCUAUAUCCAGGCUUACUGAAGUUGUUUUUGGCAGCAUUUAGUUUUCUGGGGGCUAUUUGAAGAUUUCCCUUAGUUCUUUGUUAAGCCUGUGACUCUAAGGGAGGGGAGACAGAGACAGAGGGCUUUGGCAGCUGGCUUCACCACAGAGUGAGAGUCCAGAAUUCAAGGAAGAGUCAGUAGGCUCAGCCCAUAGUCAAGAAAGGUAAUUAAACAAGAGUCUGAAUCCCAAGAGGCAGUUCCUGGAGGGCCAUUUCAGAAGGCUGCCAUUGAAGCCUGCCCAUUGGCCUCUAAUGAUUCAUGUUCUUUCAACAUGCAGCUCGCCCCCUUCAACAUCUUCAAAAGUCCUGUGCUGUGUGACUGGAUUCUGAGUCCAGAAUCUUGUCAACUAAGCUCCAGGUGUGGUGAAGGCUUCUUACGUGUAGUUCUUUAAAAGUAUAGCACCUAGGGGUUUUAUUAAUUUUUAGUUUGUGCCCUGCUAAUACCUCUUCUCCAGAGUUUACUUUGGAAAGAAAAGACUUAGAUUUGAUCAUAUAGGAGUUCUAGGUAGGAAAUUCAAUCCAGCUCUGUCAUUGGUCAAUAAACAUUGCUGCUUUGCAAGGCAUGAUUUGUGAUAGCUCUUUUUGGCAGUGAAUAGUGAGUGGGAUCAUGUGGCAGAUGAUAAGUUGGCAUGUAGCUGAGAGAUCCAUGUUAGCUUAAUGAUGGGAAUUGGAUCAGAGGACUCAUUUAUAAUAAUUGGACUUGUUUACCAACCCAUAAGUAAAUGAGAGAAAAUAUCCAUCAGCUUUAGUUUCCCUUAAUGAGCUACAUAGAACGGUUUUUCUGUUGCAUUAAUGCAACAGGAUGCAUUGCUUUGCAGUUUCACUUCUUUUUUUUAAUCUAUAAGAACAAAAAUUUAGAGCUCUUUUUUGGGGGAAGGAUUAAGUGUAUUUUUGAGGGUUCAAGCUUAAUGAGUUUUAACUGGUAUUAAUCUGAAAUAAUUUAAAUCGUUUUAUUAAUGCUUUUCACUGACUCCCUUUCUCUGACCAUUGUGUCCCUGAAAUUGGUCUUUGGUAUUUUAAACCACUUAGAAACAACUUAGUCUUUGCUGAGGAAAAUAUGAUGAAACUUCGGGUCAAGGAAGAGAGGAAAUAAAUGUUUUUCCCAACUCCCCAGGAUGAAUAUAAUCAUUAUGUAUGGCCAACAUGUACUAAGAAAAAUACAAAUUUAAAAAACAGUAUGGGAUCUAGAAUCUUCUAUCUGCUGGUAAUAUUGCAGUAAAUGGGUAUUGUCAAUUAAAACUUCAGCAUCUACUUUUAUCUCUUUUUUUAAAAAAAAAAUCACACUACAAAAACCAGAUGAAAAAUUACCUAUAUAGAAUAAGGCUGAGGUUUUCUGUUCAGUAAGAAAGCAUUUGAUUUCUGACUAUUGUAAUGUUGGAGUCCCAUGAGAUGUCAGGGUAGACUAUGACUCUUUACAACUGAGUAUGUGUAAUAGUAUCUAUAAAAGUAAAUUGCUGCAAGAUCAACAUAUAUAAACUCUUUCAUGCCACCAGAGUUCACUCUUUGGUAAUUCUUUAUAGUUCACUUUUAACGAGUAUUUUUUUUUAAAUGGAGUUAGCCUCUCCCCCACUUUUUAUUUAUUUGUUUUUAAGUCCAUGUCAGUAGCUGGUGCACUCCACAAGAAAUGUUGCAAGUAUAUGACUAUCCACAAUGGAAGCUUUGUUUUUAUUCAUGAUGAUACUUGGAGAUAAGUGACACUAACACCCUUCCAGUGACUUCAGAAAUGCUUUUGACCUAAACCGAGUUGUGAAUCCUGUUUAUCUUUGGCUGCCCCACCUUCCUAUUCUUUGUUCAUUUGUGAAGAUCCAGAGACUAGAGCUGUCUUCAUUUGGGGCGAGAUGGUACCUGGCCCAAUUAAUUGAAAUGCGUAGGACAGAAUGAGAAGAAACCGGGAACCAAGUGCUGUGCCAGGGCUUGGGAGGCACUGGGACAAUGGGAUGAAUUUCAUACACUAGAAAGAAAGUUGCCAGGCAGACUAAACUCCAGAUGUAGGUGCCUUGACUGCUACUAAUCUCUAACAGGAAGUCACUAAGACACAAAAUGAAAAAGCUUCCAUUUGCGUUCCAGUGUGAGCUGGUGAAUGUUUUACUCCAGCUGAGUAGAGCACAGCAAUGUAGAAUGUGGGCAUACGCAAUAUAUGUGUAAAUUCUAGCACACGCUGUUAUGCCAUCCUGACUCUUGCUGUGUUCUCGUUUCUAUCAUUGCAUUCAUUCUGCUCUUAAGCUGUGAGCUUUUUUCUCCCAUUUAGUGAGCAUGAUAGGGAUGCUUAAGGAAGCUGAAGCCUGUGGAGAUUGAUUUGCACUCUAAAAUCACGUAGCUGAAAAGAGGCAGGCAGAGCCGAGUUUUCACCCCUGGGAUGUCUUAUGUACAGCAUAAGUUCUUCAUUGCCUUGCUCUAUGGCUUUCCCUUAGGAAGGACUCCAUUUUCCUCAGGCAUGUGACAAGAACAAGGUGGAUUCCUUUUUGUGAGCGCCAGGAUAGUGGGCAGGAAGCCAGGGUGAGGCAGAUAUGGUUUACAGAACAAAAUAGGAUGGUGGAGACUGGGUUUAGGGAAUAAGACAGGCACCUUGUUGAAAACUAAGAUGUGCUUGACUAGCUCAGGGUCGGGCUAGCAAACAGUCUGAUGAUGAGAGUAUUGUUUUAGAACUCAUUAUUUCUGCCAUGUUAAGAUUGGCCUCAGAUUUGGGCUGGGCUCAGUUUCCAAGUGGGGUGUCCAGCUCCAGCCUCUAGAAGAGGCCUAGUGCCAUGGGAGAGGCUGGUACAGUUUGCCUUCUGCAAACCUGUUAGGAAAGAAUCAGAAAUUGAGGUAUAUUAUAGUGGAAACUUCCGAGAGAAGCAUUUGCAUUUUAUUAGGGAUUAAAUUAAAGGCAAUGAAGCUUGUGGGGAGAGUUUGUUUUGUUUUAAAUUGAGGUGAAAGGUUAUUGUUGGUGGUGGCCUUCCUGGAAAUUUUGAAAUCGUACCCAUUGCUUAUGUCAUGGUUGAAACUAUUAGCCUAAUAACUUUGCUAUUUCAACAUUAGAUAGGAACUGCUCUGGGGGAAAACCUAGUGGUAGAGAGUGGAGUUGACUUCUGGGCUUUGAAAUGACACCAUAAUGAGGUUCACACCCUUUGCUUGCCCUGUGAUUUGUUAGCCUAAUAAUUUUCUGAGAGAUACUAUGACAUCAUUAGAAAGACCCCAAGAACUCAUUGUGAUGUUAUUAAAAGACAGCUUGGAAGUUGAAAACAUUAAUAUUGAAUAGAAUGGUUGCUCUGGGAGAAAAUAGGAUUUUGUUUUCAUGGGAAUGUCCUUGGUGAUAAUGAGGGAAGAAAAACACAGGAACCAUACAAUAUACUGUGAUAGCAGAUUCAUUUCUAAUGGAAUAUUUCUCAAUAUUUUCCAUGAAACGUGACUCAUAGGUCUUGAAAGGGCCACAAAGGGCACAGCUCAUUUUCACUUGGAAGCUGGACUUACACCUAUGGCAUUCCAGACAAAAGAUUAUUUAUUUUUUGGCCAGAUGGAAUUGUAUAAAGAGCUGAUUGUUAAGAAGAAGUGUCCUAGCAAUCAAUAGGAAUCCUUGCCUUUGCUUAAAGUGAAGAAUUAAUAGAGGGCAGCUGUGGGUCUCAUUCUUUCAUGUCCGUGUCUGGGCUGAGGUGCUGGCAGUACAGCCUUCCUUCCUGUCCAAACAUGCUGUCUUUUUAUCUGGGCUGUUUCUCUGCUCCCUGUAGAAUCCUCUAGCCAGCACAAAUACCCAACUUCCUGGAAGGCUCUAGAUCUAUCUCUUCCAAGAACCCUCCUGGACCUCUGCAGUCCAUCUUGACUUUUCUCUGAGUUUGGAGGAGCAGGUGGAUGCAACACUUUGCAGUCUAGACACAUGGAAACUUUAGCCCUUGAGUCAGACUCUGAAGUCACUGUGACCGGAAACAGUGCCUCCUCUGCCUUGCUCCCCAGCCAUACACACAGAUCAUCGCUGACUGGACUCUUGACUGUCUUUAGUAUAUUAGGCAUGAUGAUUUUUUCUUUUAAAUUUAACCCUUCUAGUGGUAGCUAAAAAUGUUUAGUGAUGUGUAUUUAGUGGUCCCUAAAGUCUCCAUAGAACUUUCAAAUCAGAUUGUUAAUUGAAGCUCAUCAGUUUGUUUUUGAGAAAAAUUUAAAUCCUCAAGAACUUUCAGAAUGACCCUAUAUUAAUAGUGCAAUUUUGUUUUAAGAGUGUUAUACAUAAAUUAUGAGCCUGGAGAAAAUAGGUGAAUAUCAUGGUGCUAUAAGAAAAUAAAAAAGAUUAAAAAUCACCAUUAUCUUAAUAAAUAAUACAAUCUAAAGAUAGUUAAUUGCUAAUCAUUUUUUGUAGAAUUUUUUUACAACUAACUGUUGAUGUAUUCUGCUAAAUUGUAUUAAGUGGGUUGACUAAAUAUGAGCAGAGUGUGUGGUUGGGGGAAACUUUCAAGAGAGCCCUACUUUGAGAUAGCACGAGCAUUGAAGCUGUUUGAAUGUGUGCAACUGUUUUCUUCUUUUUCUUGUUCCCCUUAAGCUCUCUUCAGUUCUGUGUCUUAUUCUCCCCCUGCUCCCAGCGAGUGUGGGAACUGUAUCAUUGAUGAACACCACGCUCUGCUCAGUGGCUCAGUGAAUGACACCAUUGAGAGCUGUUCCAUGUUCCUGAAUUUCCUUGUUUCCUCCCUCCUCCACCCCACCCCCAAUGUAUGAUUCAGCAUCCAGAAUGUCACAGGGACCAUAGUGGUACUGUUUUUUUGUUUUUUUUUAAUGUGCCUCUUGCCAUGUACUUACCAGACUUGUUUGACAGAUUAGAAUACUGACCUGUCCUUCUUUCUAAGAAUUAUAUGACAGGCUCUAGGGAACUCAGAUUGUGUCUUGCUUUCUUUAUUUGAAAUGUCAUGACUAAAAUCAUAGCUUGCUUGGAUUUACAAGCUGAGGUAGACAAAUUUCAAAAGUUUCUAUGUGCUUUACUCCUUUAAUGCAAACUGCAUAUAAAAGAGAAAUCCCUGUUUUACUACCUUAAAACCCAGGACCUGUUUCAAAUAAAGCCUGUCUUUAAAGUUUGAAGGUUGCACCCUGGUCUUGACUUAAAUACAGUCCGUUUUUCAUAAAAAAAUUAAAAGUGAAAUUACUAUAGUAUGAAUGCAUGA
ensembl:lncRNA